ACCUGAGUGGCUCAGUCGGUUGGGCGUCUGACUUCGGCCCAGGUCAUGAUCUCACAGCUUGUGGGUUCAGAUCCCACAUCAGGCU
rnacentral:tRNA from 1 species